UUAUUCUUUAUUUCGUUAUUAGGCAAUUUGGAAAGUGCGAUUAAGUUUUCGACAAAGCCUAGCCGACAUCAAAGUAAAACUUUCGACGAGUCGGAAGGAAAAAGUGGGUGUAUGUAGGUAACCAAAAAACCGUAUAUUUCUUGGCAGAAAAAGCGUAUUUGACAGAUUCCCGAAUACACUCAACUAAUUGAAGUGAUUUUGGCGCAGGUAAGUGCAUUUACCACAUCAAAGUGAAUCAUUAACCAAAACUCGGGCAAACAAAUUGAUUGCAUCGCCUUGGAGUAAUGGACGUUGCCACUUCUGGUUUGUUUGUCUAAUAAAUUGAACACACAGAAACACAUCCCAUCCAUUCAUAUAAGCACACACGUUGUAAUUUCUAAAUCAAAAAUAAACAUCGGACGGGAUUGGGAGGUGAAUUUGGCCAAAAUCAAAUGUGCAGCUGCUAAUAUGAAAAGUACACACAAACGGAAGAGUUAAUCCUUAUCGACAAUUUGACAUCAGCAGUUUUCGGUGCUUUUGCUUUCAAAUAACAGAAACCAUUAAGUUGUCACAUCCAGGCAGCCACGACCCCUAGUGCCAUAAAAAAAAUAUAUGGCUAUACGUUGGAAAUCGGAAAAACGGGAAAAGUGCCGAAAAGCUGGUGGAGUGCGACGGUAGCAUGAUUUUCGCCACUGGCUGUCGCGCUUUUCCGGGGGCAAAAAACGGGACCAGGAGUUGCCCCUUUGGUGCAAUGCAUUUGCAACUUAAUGCGCCGAAAGCUGCGAGUUUUUCGCUAAUGCACAAUUUGUAUGCGUCAACACUUUCGUCAGCGGAAAAGGGGCAGAACCAGCUAGCACCAAGUGGAGUUUCCACGGGCUUUCAUUUUUAUCAACGGAAAUAUCAAAAAGCCCAUUGAUAAGUUGGACUACCCACUGCCCACCAUCCAUCUUAUGCUUCUGCAAAUAGCUGCAUCCCAUCGCUUACCAAAGAACUAAGCCGAAAUGGAGGCCAAGUGAAUCAGUGACCUGCAAGACAUAAAAUCCUGUCCUCCUCAUCCGCAGCCUGCCGCUCGAUCCAGGGCCACCUGUUCGACGGCCAACUCUUUGGCAAUUUGUGUGCAUCGCCGACUGCAGAUGUUUUUCCUCUGCUCGGUUCGAGGUCUCGCUCCACAAACUUGCAGAUUUAUUGCCCAGAAACUUUUAUUGCCUGCAAGAAUAUGUACGGGCCGAGAUAAAGAUGCAAUCUGGAACUUGUUUGGCGAGUGGAACACUUUGCCAUCUGCCAUCCAAAAGAGUGUGGGGUAAUUGAAGUCACUCAGUCGUGGAGGUGGCACUAGUCCAGGUCGCAUUUGUCUAUCCCUGCGUUCCCAUUUAGACUCGGAUCUAGAUAUAUAAUUGAAAUUAAAUUUCAGGUUCUUUAAUACCAUAUUUGCCAAACUUAAAAGCAUGCUCCUAACGAUUGAUUGGACCGUUUACACAAACAUAAAUGUGCCCGAAAACGUUAUGAUUUACUUCAUUUUUGAUUUACUUGUUUUAUGUUUUUCUUUUUGAACAGCUUGCAGUAAACUUCGAACCUAAUCGGAAAUCUUAGCUCUAUUAACCUAUCGAUAGUUUUGUCACAACUUUCUCCCAUCCCUGAAAAAAGAGUGCAAGCAACUCUAAUUUUCUGCAUUUGAUGCCACUUGGAAACUUCUCAGAAUGGGGCCAGUGGAUCAAAACCCAGCAGCUAACCACGCUACGAGGAAAGGUAUUCAAAAAAAGGAAAAUAAGUUGCAAAAAUUAAAGGGGAGCAAUUGGAACGUGAAAAGUAAUAGCUUGCGGAAAGAAGGGUACCCAAAUGAGUCAGUUUGCAAAACCCAAGUUCAGACCGGUCCCAAUCCAACACUUAUUUCCGAUACGCACUACCAAUUGUUGGACUGAAGCUGCUACAAGAAUACCACCAGUGAUCUAUGCCACAUGGUCUUUGGGCGAGAGACAUUGGGAACCUAUUCAUUGACUGGGCGACCUGGCAGGUUCUCAGUGCUCCUGGCCAAGCAUUCCAAGCCCAAGCUAAAUUCCUCGAAGCUGAAGAACAUAGUGUUUCUGACCACACACAAGUUUCAGAUGGAUCGCAAGCAGGUGGAACUGGUGAUACGGCAGGUCUGCCGGAACGCAGCCAGAGGCUCGAGGAGGAAAGAUAAAUAAAGUCAACAUAUACUUUUGUAUUCACAAUAAAGAGUCCCAUUUCCAUAGAA